rnacentral:rRNA from 1 species
CAGCAGCCGCGGUAAUACGGAGGGAGCUAGCGUUGUUCGGAAUUACUGGGCGUAAAGCGCGCGUAGGCGGUUACUCGAGUCAGAGGUGAAAGCCCGGGGCUCAACCCCGGAACUGCCUUUGAAACUAGGUGACUAGAAUCUUGGAGAGGUCAAUGGAAUUCCGAGUGUAGAGGUGAAAUUCGUAGAUAUUCGGAAGAACACCAGUGGCAAAGGCGACUGACUGGACAAGUAUUGACGCUGAGGUGCGAAAGCGUGGGGAGCAAACAGGAUUAGAUACCCGUGUAGUCCCUGUCUCUUAUAC